UACGUAGGGUGCAGGCGUUAAUCGGAAUUACUGGGCGUAAAGCGUGCGCAGGCGGUUUGCUAAGACAGAUGUGAAAUCCCCGGGCUCAACCUGGGAAUUGCAUUUGUGACUGCACGGCUAGAGUGUGUCAGAGGGGGGUAGAAUUCCACGUGUAGCAGUGAAAUGCGUAGAGAUGUGGAGGAAUACCGAUGGCGAAGGCAGCCCCCUGGGAUAACACUGACGCUCAUGCACGAAAGCGUGGGGAGCAAACAGG
rnacentral:rRNA from 1 species